rnacentral:rRNA from 1 species
UACGGAGGGUGCAAGCGUUGUCCGGAAUCACUGGGCGUAAAGGGCGCGUAGGCGGCUCAUGAAGGCUGUGGUGAAAGUCCGGGGCUCAACCUCGGAUCGGCCGUGGCGACUCGUGGCUGGAGCACUGUAGAGGCGGUGGAAUUCCGGGUGUAGCGGUGGAAUGCGUAGAUAUUCGGAAGAACACCAGUGGCGAAGGCGACUGACUGGACAAGUAGUU